GACGAAGGAUGCAAGCGUUAUCCGGAUUCAUUGGGUUUAAAGGGUGCGUAGGCGGGCAUUUAAGUCAGUGGUGAAAUACCUGGGCUUAACUUGGGAACUGCCAUUGAUACUAUUUGUCUUGAAUGUCGUGGAGGUUAGCGGAAUAUGUCAUGUAGCGGUGAAAUGCUUAGAUAUGACAUAGAACACCUAUUGCGAAGGCAGCUAACUACGCGAAUAUUGACGCUGAGGCACGAAAGCGUGGGGAUCAAACAGG
rnacentral:rRNA from 1 species